AAGCGAAACAGUGAUGUGGAGGCAAAACUCAAAAAAAUAAGUCUCAGUUCGGAUUGAAGGCUGAAAUUCGCCUUCAUGAAGCCGGAAUUGCUAGUAAUGGCAGGUCAGCAUACUGCCGUGAAUACGUUCCCGGGCCUUGUACACACCGCCCGUCACACCAUGAGAGUUGGGAAUACCCGAAGCCUGUGAGCUAACUUUUAGAGGCAGCAGUCGAAGGUAGAAUCAAUGAUUGGGGUGAAGUCGUAACAAGGUAUC
rnacentral:rRNA from 1 species